GAUUGUGAAUGUGGCAUAUUGGGCCAACAGCUUUUGUUUUGAAACGGGAUUGGGCCGAUAGACAAACAAUAGAAUUAGAAGGAUUAAAAAAAAAAAUGGGCCUCACAACGGUUUCGAGGCCGAAUUCUUGUUUGGUAAUUUUCUAAGUAGAGCCCAGAACAUAAUGGCUCCAGUUUUUGUGGUAUCGGGAAGCUGUACAACAAGCGCACAAAAAUAAUACCCCCUAUAUUAAAAAAAAAUAUAUAUGGUAUAACCUCAUAUCAUGAUAAAAAAGAAUGCAUAUACACCAAAAAUACUAAAUAAUCUCUUAUCACUGUGAUUCAUCGGAGUUUGGAGAUUUUCAAAAAUGAGCAAUACGACCACCAGAUUGAUGCACAUAUCUCUUGCUCGCUUCAAUUUGCCAUAACUCGUGGCAUUAAAAUGUUCCCUUGGCUUGCCCAAUUGCAUAUGGCUCUCGAGUUAUAUCCAAGUAAUCAAUCAAGUGCUUCCUUUAUCCCCUUGUGGCAGUUACGCAUAAGAUCAAAUGCUGCGAAAACUCUCUCCUAUAAGUUGAAACCUCCAUCAACUUCUUCUUAGCUGAACAGAGGAUAAUUUUAUUCAACAUCGGAUAAUAUACAUUCGUGAACUGGUUAAAAUACAGAGGUUAGAUCCUUCUUCUAAGACCCAAUUGUAUCCAAGAGCAGGCUUGUGACCGCUAUGGGACUCUUGACCACAUAUUUAUCUUUAGAGUCAACCCAGCUUAGAUAACCAAAAAUCGUACCUUCUUCAAUCUUUCUUGGACCUUCUAUGACCAGUUUGUAGCUUAGCUUCUCGUUCUUUGCUUUGAACUCCAGCUUGCUAGGCGUGACACUAAUAUUUAAACCUUUCAUGCGUGUUAAAUUUGCAGUAUAAGUUGACAUUUCCUCUCCCACAUUGGUUACCGUCCUGUGAAACUCUUGGACAGUGGUCAUAUUGGAUUCAGAGUCCCUUGCAUUGAAGUAGGCAAGAAAGGAGGGGUAGUUAAGGUCCAAGGAUGGGGAGGAACAAUCGUUAGAAGGUGAUUUUGUGAUAGUUUGGAUUUGCUCUUUGGUGAAAUUUAAUGCACAGAGCAGUUUCACAUAAUCAGUUGAGUUCACGUCAUAAAUAAGCCCAGGGUCUAGCGCCUUGUUGGGAUUAAUUUGGCCUGCUCCCAUAUCUAAAGGAGUAGCUGGCUGGUUUGCAUAGCCAAUAUCUUUGAUAGGCCCAAACGUGUGAUCCGUGGUAUCAGCAGUGGUCAUCAUCGCUGACCUGAUAGCUGCGGGGCUCCAGUCAGGGUGUGCCUUCUUCAAGAGUGCCGCUACUCCUGCUGUGUGCGGGCAAGCCAUGGAUGUCCCAGACUCUAGAUUGAAGUUUCUGAAUGUUCCAUCAGCGUUGAUCAGUUCCAAUAAAAUAUUUUCAGGCCAUGCAGCUAAGAUUAGAGAACCUGGAGCCAUAAUGUCAGGCUUCAACACUGAGGGGCAGCUUAGGGAUGGUCCUCUGGAACUAUAGCUAGUAAGACUUGGAGCUAAUUUAUUAUCCAGAUUUGUUUUCUUAAAUUCCAUGUUUGCUUGUGGUUUGGAACUGCUGUUGAUGUAACUUUUGAUGGUUUCUCCAUCUUUCGGAUUUACAAAUAUUGCUGGAAAUUGGGUGGGGAUGAAGGAUUCAAGGUCUAUGGAAUUGGUUAUGAAAAUAGCUCCAGUAACAUUUGCAAUGCCGAUGUUUUCAAAUUGAUCCUCCAGGGAGGUAUUCCCCUCUUCGCAGACAACAAUAUUGAUUUGCUUAGCAUCAAACAAGUCCUGCAGAUCGAAACAUUCGCCCUUGAAAACAAUUGGAAUUUGGAUAGAAGAAAAAUUCCCUCGAUAGAGAGCUAUGCCAGUGACUGAAACUCCAUUUCCAAGUGUCAAAACACCAUUAAAUUCACGAUCUGUAGUGCCAGCAGCAACAGUUAGCACCCAAGGUGCGCCAUUAUGGAGUGACCCAGGGAAAGGCCCAUCAUUUCCUGCAGAUGUUGACACAAAUAUAUUGUUUUCCAUAGCUGCAAAUGUAGCCAAGGCAACUGGGUCUUCAUUCAAAGUGAACCCUUUCAAUCCCAGUGAAAUGGAUAAUACAUCUACUCCAUCAAUAAUUGCUCGAUCAAUUGCAGCAAUUAUAUCAG
rnacentral:misc_RNA from 1 species